AGAGUUUGAUCCUGGCUCAGGAUGAACGCUGGCGGCGUGCUUAACACAUGCAAGUCGAACGAACCUUCGGGUUAGUGGCGGACGGGUGAGUAACGCGUGAGAAUCUGCCCUCAGGAGGGGGACAACAGCUGGAAACGGCUGCUAAUACCCCAUAUGCCGCGAGGUGAAAUGAAUUUCGCCUGAGGAUGAGCUCGCGUCUGAUUAGCUAGUUGGUGUAGGUAAUGGCUCACCAAGGCAUCGAUCAGUAGCUGGUCUGAGAGGAUGAUCAGCCACACUGGGACUGAGACACGGCCCAGACUCCUACGGGAGGCAGCAGUGGGGAAUUUUCCGCAAUGGGCGAAAGCCUGACGGAGCAACGCCGCGUGAGGGAUGAAGGCCUCUGGGCUGUAAACCUCUUUUAUCAAGGAAGAAG
rnacentral:rRNA from 1 species